CCCACUCCAGUGUUCUUGCCUGGAGAAUCCCGGGGACGGGGGAGCCUGGUGGGCUGCCGUCUACGGGAUCACACAGAGUCCGACACAACUGAAGCGACUUAGCAGCAGCAGCAGUGUUACAAAGGUACAGGGAAAACAUGUGGUAAUGCAAUUCGGGAAAACAGUAAAAAUCAAAAGUACUUGUCCUUCCACCUAGAAAUCCCACUACGAGGAAUCCAGCCUAAAGGAAAUAAAGAUAAGCAUAAAAAUUCAGCUAUUAGUUUGUUCAUAGUGGGAGUGUUUAUUAUUGUGGAACAAUGAUGCUACUCCAGAUAGCCAAUAAUAGAGUUGCAUCAAAUUAAUUGUUCAUCUGUCUCAUGAGAUAAUUGUGCAUCCAUCAAAAAAAAAAAAUGUAGAAUUUUAUUAACUGAUAUAUGUGGUAAACUUCUGUUAUUAUGCCUUCCCAGAAUCCAUUCAUCCCUUUUUCAGACAAGAGAACCCCAGUUUUCUUAGAAGGGAGCCUACUUCUCUUGUUCCAUGAAGUGGGUUGAGCACUAGUCAGCUUCAGGUAGCCUGAGGCUGAGGCCUCGUUGAAUCAGCAUAUUCUGUCUUCCAGCCUCAAUGAUGGGUUUAGAGCUGGGCUCCUGACCUAUGUUGGACCAGUAUGUUUCAGUCCCAGGAAUUUGUCCAAAAUAUUGGACAAGAGCAGCUCUUUUUUUUUUUUUUUUUUCUGCCGGAGUUGGUGAAAAGGAUAGCUUAGAGUUGUUGGGAAGAAUUAAGUUUUUACCUGAAUUAAGCCUAUAGAAAAAUAAAUAGUCGAGAGAUGGCAAGGCUAUAGCUCCCAUGACAUCAUUAGACCCUAGAUCCUAGCCGUCUGAUUUCAGACUGCACCUGAACUUUUCACCCUUUGACUUAAGCCAGUUUGAUUUUUUUUUUUAACCUGACAUCAAUAAAAAGUCAGGAAGUUAGAAAAGUAUGUUGGAAAAUUGUAUAUUUCCUCACUUUCACAAAACAUUUUCACAGAUAAGAGUCUUAAGGGACACAUUCUGUAAUGAUAAAGGCAAUUAUCUGUGGAUCAGGGGAUUGUCCAUGCUUUUUAUUCUUGUUUAAUGUCUGAAGACAAGCUUUUCUCUCUAUAUAAAAUUAGAAGGCUUUCCAUGAGUGUCAUCUUUGACUCCAUCACACCAGCAUUAUAAUUUAGAUUUAAAAUAUAUACAGGCGCCUGUCUUUAGCCAAAUGUCUAUCAUCUGAAUCUCCGCUGUUACAAGGCGGCACAUGCAUUGCUUCUGGGAUGUCACUGUCCCUCCUCAGUGGGCGGAGGUGGGAAACACACAUAUGAACACAAUAUCCACACACCUAUGUCCAUGUGUUACGUAUAUACACUAGAAUUUGCCAGUCCUCGUCCAUCACCACAGCGUUUAUUCCAGCCUUCCACCUCUCCAGAUAUGUACCUCCCAUCUCCUGUGGUAGAAACCUGGUUCUUUUUAUUUGCAAUCUAUUUACUUACCUGUUCAAGCCCCAUUGUUACUGUUUAAUCACUAAGUUGUAUCCGACUCUUUUGCGACCCCAUGGACUGUAGCCCACCAGCUCCUCUGUCCAAAGGAUUUCCCAGGCAAGAAUACUGGAGUGAGGUUGCCAUUUCCUUCUUCAAAAGCCCCACAUAUAGAAUCAAAGCUCCCAACCCUGUGGGCCCUCUCCUCUACUUGGGGCCAGCCAGGCGCUCCCCAGUCCUGAUCGUGGUCUUGCUGCCUCACUCCAGCUCCAGCUCCGCUGGCUGAGUCCUCUAGUGAGAUAUUCCUAGGCAGAGGAAGUCGAUAUGCUAAUGCUGACACGUUUGGAAACCAUUCACUUAUUCAACAAGUAAUUGUUGAGUACUUACUGUAUGCCAGGCAUUUUUUUUUCUUUUUUCAGCAUGUGGGGAUAGUAGAAGCGGGGGUGGGGGGAGGAAUUCUGGAUAUAGUUUGGAAGUAGAAGCAGUAGGGUUUGAUAGUAGGCUGGAAGUGGGUGAGAUGAGGACUUAAAGAUAACUCCAAAGUUUUUUCUCUGAACAACUAGCAAAAUGAAGUUGUCAUUAACGGAAAUGAAGAGAGUUGCAAAAAGAUGCAAGUACAGGAGAGCAGCAUAUCAGGAGCUCAGUUUUGGAUGUGUUAAGUUGGGAGGUUCUUUGUAGUCAUCCUUCUAGAGGUGUUCGGUUGGCAGUUGUAUAAGGGUCUGUAGUCUGAGAGAGAGAUAUGUGCUCCAUCUGCAUUUAGAUGGUAAUUCAAGUCAUGAGAAAGGAUGAGUCCACCCAGGGAGUGAGCGGAGAUCGAGUAGGACAAGGUUCAGAAACUAAACCAUGAUGGAUUCCCAGCAUCAGGAAUGGAUUCCCUGUAACACAUGCUGAUGAUCAUUUGAAUAAAACCAGGGCUGAAAUAUGACUAUUUGAUUUUGGAGUGUGGAUGUCAGUUGUAACUUUGAGAAGGGCAGUUUCAGUGGAGUAGUAGGGGCAAAAUCCUGAUGGAGCAGAUUCAAAAGGGAAUAGUAGAGAUAAAAUUGGAGAGAGUAGGAAUUGUUUCAAGAAUUUUUUUUUUCUAUUGUAAAUGGAUGGAAAGACAUGAGGCAAUAGCUGCAAGGGGCAUGUGAGUUUAAAAGAAAUCUUUCCCGCUCCACACCCCCACCACCAAAAUGCAAGAAAGAAUAGCAUAUAUAUGCAUAUGUCCAUGGAAAUGAUCCUGUAGAGGGGAAAAACUGAUGUUAGAAAAGAGCGAAGAGAUAGUUUGAGGAAGGAAGCUGGAAGUGUUUAAUUUGGGGUUGGGGGAGAUACGUGGAGAAGGAAACGGCAACCCACUCCAGUAUUCACGCCUGGAAAAUCCCAUGGACCUAGGAGCCUGGUGGGCUACAAUCCAUGGGGUCGCAAAGAGUCAGACACGACUGUGCGACUUCUGUGUUCUGUGUGUGGGGGAGAUACGGGGCAGCUAAUGAACUGAAUAUUCAGGGAGCUUAUUGGAGUUUUGCCAGACCCAGUGUUAAGGGUUAGAAAAAUGAAGUAAAGACUGAAGAGAUCUGAUUGGUCAAGAGAGGGAGUAGUUAAUGGGAAGAAGAUCUUAAAGUUGAGGAGCAGACUGAGGGAAGUCAGCGGCAGGGAAUGAAGUGAUCAGCUGUGAUAAGAGACCAGGAUAUUGGUGCUGAAGGUUCCAAAGAUGAAGCAACUUCCAGAGAAGACAAGGUUCCAAGUGUCCCUGUUAAGUCUGAGUGAAAUAAAGUUGCUCCAUAUGAAUACUUAACAUUGAACCAAAAGCCAUGUGCUAGCGUGAUGGGUGUGUAGGAGUGACCAGGGAGGCUGGCAGGUGACUGAGACGAGGACGGGCGGUAGGGCUGGAUGGUGAGCAUGGAAGGCAAGGGGGCCCUCUUGUGUUGUAGACCAUCCUCUAGGGUAGUGAGUUUCCUGUUUCUGUAAGUUUUAAGAAAACACUGGUGACUCUUGAGGGUUUUAAAAAAGAACUUUUGAAUCUAGGUUCAUUUGUAGGAGACUAUCCCAUGAGGAAAGGAGCUGGCAGGCUGCAGUCCACAGGGGUCACAAAAGUGUUGGACAUGACUUAGCAACUAAACAACAAGAGAAUUUUAAACCCUAGAAGUAUGAUACUAUGAUAAUUCUUUUGAGUUAUACCUCUAGAAAAUUUGUUUUUUGUAUACAUUAGAAUUCUAUUUUUUCCCUAUAAAAAUUAUUUUCUCAAGAGAGUGAAGUUUACCCUGCUUAGGAUCGCCUGCACAUCUGGUACUUAUUUGCAGGCAUAUAAAUAAUUAAUAGAUUCAACGACAUAUUGCAAAUUUCACAUUGAUGUGUAAAAUAUAUUUAGCACCAUUAAACAUCAAUAGUGACUUGCUUUGUAGUUAGGUCUUAUCAAAUAAUAAACAUCCUCUGACUGCAAACAGUUUUUCUCCAAGUGGGUAAUCCAUAAUAGUAGGAAAUUAAAAAAAAAACCCUCCAGCCUGGUCUUGAUCACCCCCUGAAAUUGUCAGUGAGAAAUAGAUCACUUAGUACCAGCUGAAUUUAAUAAGUUUAUUCAGUGUAAGUAAAAGAAGCAAUAAUUUUAAGUCAACUGCAAAAAAAAAAAAAAUGUCAAAUAGAAAUAGUUUUUGGACUGUCCAGUGCUUGUGGUUUAUGUCUCCAUCCCCUGGAGAAAUAACAAUACCCAAACACACCCGAAAUACAUAUAUGAAGCUUUAAAAGCAUACAGCUUAUAUCUUUUAUUCCGUACACACUAUUUCCUUCCCUUUAGUCAUUUUUCCUCCCCGCCUCCACCUCCCCAGGGAAUUUCAUAAAUAUAAGCACAGAGCCUUAUAGACAUUUGCUAAAAAAUUUUUAUUAACUGAGAAUAUCACAUUGUUUCACAGUAAAAUGAUUUUACCCUCCAAAUGAUUACAAAGCUUUUUUUCAUUAAAAACAUUUUGGUUAUCUAUAUUAAAUUGAACAUUAUAAAAAAUCAAUUAUAAAUUAUACUCUUUAAAAAGAAACAUAAAAUUUUUUAAAAGGCAAGUACUAAAACACUGCACACUGAUCAAACCCAGCAUAAUCAUUUCACAUAAGUGACCUAUAUUUAAACAACUCCUGUGCCAAAAAUGGCACCCUGUGUAGACAGAGCAGAGUCACUCUGCAGCAUGCACUCGGAAUAAUCUGGUUUUGAUGUCUAAGGUCAAACAUGUUUUCCUAACUUUGAAAAUAUGCAAAAUAAUUUAAAAAUUAAUUUUCAGUUAAACAUUAAAACAAGUUGACAAAAAAAGUGUCUAUUAGGAGAUACUUAAAAUAUCCAAGCUCUCUCUAAUACUGCAGGGUUCAGUCUGUCAUAGCUAUAACUUUCAAGCUAAAAUAAAUUUGUAGGAGAACAGAAUGACAAAAUGCAAAUUUAUCAAGCACUGGGCAAUGCCUUAAUAAUGUUAUAGUUCUCAAACCACAAUAUUAUAACAAUUACAUGAGAAGUUAUUCCUAAGGGGAUAUUUCGUCUCACUCCACUGUAACUUUUUUUGAGUACAGUUGGUUUACAAUGUUGUGUUGGUUUCCGCUCUACAGCACAGUGAAUCAGUUAUACAUAUACAUAAAUACAUUCUGUUUUAGACUUUUCCCAUAUAGGUCAUUACAGUAUUGAGUAGAGUUCCCUGUGCUAUAUGGUAGGUCCUUGUUAGUUACCUGUGUUAUAUAUAGUAGUAUGUAUAUGUCAAUCCCAAUCUCCUCCCUCUAUAACUUCUGAUUAACAGGCCCCCAUUCUCUUACAUACAAAUCAUGUUAACAGUAAAAUGGCAUUAUCAUUAGUUAACAGUGAAUCCAGUAUGUUCUAGUAGAUUCUAAAUGUUUGGUUUUCCUAAUUAGAAAAAUGAUAGUAUUUUUCUUACAUUUUUAAUAUCUUCACAAAAAUAGAGUUAAGGCAACAUCUAUAAAGACAGCAAGGUUAAAUACAAAUCUGUGGUCCCCACUUCCUCUGAAUCCUACUCGCAGGUACGUUAUGGACUCAGAGACCUGCAUGGAAUCUGGGGUAGAGUUCUGGUGCGAGUCACACAGUCAGCCACGACCAUGAUGCUCAGAGCCAAUCAUAGGCCACCAUACUGAAAGGCGAGAAACCUCUGUCAUUAGAUUGGGAACUUGUGGAUUAACCCCUACACCAUUGCCACACUCAGUGGUAGCCUUUUCAAAAACUCCAGUAAGACGAAACUCAUUGCCACAGUCCCUGAUCCGCUUGGAAAGGAGUGCUUCUUACAGGAGUUUAACAUGGAAGCUAUAAGGCUAAGGCACAAGCAUACAAUCUGUUGUCAGCGAUCAUCCAUCUUCCUGCCAAAGAAAACAUGAAGGCAAGACCUCAUCGUCAAGCUGCCGGUGUAAUUUGUACAAGCCACUCACGAUGCAUUUUAGCAACUGUUCAUUAUUGUAUAUAGGUUAUAAGGUUCAUCUUUUUUUUUUUGUUUUCCUUUUUCAGAUUAUCCACAGGCCAUAUAAGUUAAUAUUCCAUUUUUGUUUCCUUUUAAAUACUACUUAUCGGAACAAAACACGUUUUGUUUUACUGGUAUUUCGACCCCCUUUAACAGCCUACUCUCCCUUGCCUUUUAGUCUCCAGAAUCAUCACUCACUCACUGAUGAUGCAGGAAUUGAUUACGCUGGGUUUUUAGGUAGACCCCGGAAGCUGAGGUAGGUGGGCUGCCAUGACAAAGCUGAGUGUCAUGAUCAAGUACUAGAAAAGGUUUCAUUUCAUUCUCACGGUCUUUCCAGCAUACUAAUAAAAAACAGAAACCUCGUUUCAUAAAUGAGGUAGCCUCCUAUUUUAUAUCUGUCAAAAAAAAAAUUGUACCAUGGGAAAUUUCCUUGAAUGUAGAGAGGCCAAAGUAAUUAACGUUUACUUUUUAAAAUUAUUAAUUUUUAAAGCUAAAGCUAAAGUAGGCUACUGUAUCCCAAAUAUCAAGGUUUGAAUGAUUCAAAGAUGUGGCAAUGAAUUGUUUCAUGGGUCCUAAGCAUUCAUCUGAUAAAAAUCCCUAUUUAUGGUAGUUUGGUAAUAAUGAGUCUAUGGUGUGUGCAGGCUUCACAUUUAGCUAUGGGGAUUUGGCCCUUUAUUCUUGAAAAUUGUAACCUAUCACUUGCAGUGUAUAUCUGAAACAAAGCAUGAGUCUCUAUCAACAAGUAAAGUGAUACAACAUGGCUGUGACUAUUCAUACACUCAGCCUGGAAGCUGUGUGUUGCUGUUGUCUACCUUAUUAUUUGCUCCCUCCUUGCAGCAACAAUGAAGUUUUCAGUUUGAAAACUCCUGAAUAGUUUUAAAUAUGUAUUUAAAUUAUUCACGUAUUUUUAAAUUUUGGAGCUAAUUUGCUCAUACUUUCCACCCAUGUCUCUAGACGCCGGGAACUUACUCUUAAUACCAUUCACCAUAAAUUGUAACCAGACCUAAAGCAGAUUCACGAGAGACUGCAUCCCAGAGGCCUGCUAGAUUCCCAGGCAGACUCCAGGGUAUGUUCUCGGGACUACAAUUUAGCAAAAUUUUAAUGGAAUAUGAAAAUCAAAGUAAAAAAAGUAUGCUCUGAAAAUAUGUUAACAACUUGACAUACUUUCCUCUCAAAGCAUUUACCUUAAAUAUUUAAAGUUUUAUAUGUUAACACAAAAGUUGACAAUUAUAUGAAACUUCUUAUCCCCCCACCCAUUAUAAUUUUUUUUCCAGUGUACCAUUAGAACUCUUAAGUGGAAAGCUGAGAGCAAGCCAUUCUCUAGGUUACACAAAAUUGGAUGGGGUUCCAUCCUCUGAAAUCACCGGGACCAGUAAGUACUGCAACUAAGCAACCAGUGGAACUAAGCAGGGAUAAUCACUGACUCUUCAGCAGGCUUUUGAAGGAUAUAGGGAAGAAAGGGCAAAAGAAUGAUAAAGACAGUAUAAAAAGAGGUAUGGAAGGGCAUGAAAGUUCGCCACCAGGAAGUCUUCAGUCCCACACAUGCUACAGGUGCCUACCUCUGAUCUCAUAGCACAUUUUCUAUUCAGCCUUAUUGGAUUUAUCAUCAGGUUAUCUGAACAUGGGACAGCUUACAAAUAACAGUGGCACGUAUUUAAGUGUUAAGUGCAGUUAAAGGAGUAUAAUUACCAGAAGUAAACAUAUGUUUACUUUACAACCAAGUGUACAUUUACUUUAAAAGUGUGGGAAGUUGAAGCUAAUGGCAUUAAUUUUUUUUCCCCCUAUACUUGGGCAGAGUCCAUGGGAUCAUCUGCAAACAUAUCUAAACAGAUAAUGUCUGAUCAUGAAAUGCAAAUGAAGUCUUAUUUCUAUUUAUGAAUAGAAUUUGAAGCUCAGUGCAAGCACUGUGCAGUUUUCAGGAGAAAUUACAGGUCUUGGGGUAGGGCUAUAGACUAAGCAUUGCAACUGUGAUCAGAGAGAUAAAUUCUGAAAAUAGUAUCAGUAAUCUGGGUGGCUCAUUGUUACUGAAAUGGAUGCAUCCCAGCAACAGGCACUGCAGUAAAGCCUAACCAGAAUGUUUCUGGAAGAUCCUUAGGCAUCCUGUUACAGUAACAUCCCAUCCGGACUGUGUGUGAAGAGGAAUGAUCGCUCCCUUCUUUCAUGUUGUUGGCCUCAAACGCCAGAACCUUUUACUUUUGAGAAUUUGCUGAGUUCUUUAAAGAUUUUAUCUAUUCUUUUUUAAAAAAGUGUCUUGGAUUAAACAACAACAACAACAAAA